rfam:Macaca fascicularis chromosome 2, whole genome shotgun sequence.
CUACCCUGGUAAUCCUGCUCAGUAGGAGAGGAACCACAGGUUCAGACACUUGGUGUAUGUGCCUGGCUGAGGAGCCAGUGGGGUAAAGCUAAGUCUGUGGGCUUAUGACUGAACGACUCUAAGUCAGAAUCCUGCCCAGGAGGAAG